CAGCCGCCGCGGGAAUACAGAGGGUGCGAGCGUUAAUCGGAUUUACUGGGCGUAAAGCGUGCGUAGGCGGCUAAUUGAGUCGGAUGUGAAAUCCCCGAGCUUAACUUGGGAAUUGCAUUCGAUACUGGUUAGCUAGAGUGUGGGAGAGGAUGGUAGAAUUCCAGGUGUAGCGGUGAAAUGCGUGGAGAUCUGGAGGAAUACCGAUGGCGAAGGCAGCCAUCUGGCCUAACACUGACGCUGAGGAGCGAAAGCGUGGGGAGCGAACAGGAUUAGAUACCCCUGUAGUCCCUGUCUCUUAUAC
rnacentral:rRNA from 1 species